CCCCGCCCCACACUGCAGGCAAUCUGGGUCCUUCUGAAGGCAUCUUGUUGCCACUUAGCAAACCCAGUCCCUUAGAACAUGACAUCAGCCUGAGCAACAAAGACAGAGGACAGGUUCCUGUCAGAGACAAGACAUUGGGUCCAUGAUGCCAACUCUCUGGGUGGCCUGUUUAAUGGGGAGAAAAAAUUAAAUACCCCAGCCAAGUCCUAUGGAAACCAAAGAGGGUAAGUAAUUUAUUUAUACUGGGGUAGAAGAGGUGAGCAGUAUUUCUGUCUUGCUCACUAUUUCCUGAAGACUUCCUAGACAUAAACGUUCGUUAACAUCCCAGAAAGAGGACAUAUUUUUCUCUGUGGUUUUCAAUAUUUUCUGCUAAAUAUAUUCCAGUGAACUGUUUACCCAGAGUUUCGGCCUUCAGACCUUUAUGUACUGCUAACACCUUGAGGCUAUUCCUCUGGGGCUUAUGGGGAGUGGUGUUUGUUCAUUAAAGAGGACUUUAGGUGCUGGCUGGCCUGAGGCACAGUUGAGGGCUGUACACCAGACUGUGCUUUCGGUGGUUUCAGGUUGAAGGAACAGUCAGAGACCUUUUUGGUUUCAAGCAUGGGGAGAAUGCCACAGAACCUGGGACCAGUCAGUCUAGGUGCUUUUUCCUGGUCUGCACUGCCACAGAAGCCCAAAAGGCAAAAGACUAGACCUGUCCCAGUUGGUGGGGUUUACCUGCAAAGUCUUUGAACCUGACUCUCUGGGUACCUGUUCAUGACUGCCUUUGCUAUUUGGUCAGGGCCAUGCGUUUAGUCUCAAUGGAAUUUUCUGAGUCCUAAACACCCCCCUUCCAAAUAAAUAAGCUAUAAAAUCCAUCUGCUUCACCUUCCUGCAGAUCCAGACUUGAAGGGUUAGUGUUCAAACGCAAUCCUAAGGAGCAAUUGGCUCUUGAGGCAUCUCAGAAUGGUUCUGGCUUAGAAUUACAGUAAAGCUGAGGCAGAAAUCAGGUGAUUCAGAAUCCCCACCCCACCCCCCCCCAGACGGUCCAGGCAGCUGGGAUUUUGGCUCAUGCAGCUGCUCAGCUUUGGCAAGCUAAGAGCAUAUUCGUGGUGGUGAUUCCUCUCCCAGGUUGACGGACACGUUUCUGUACUGAGCACAGCCAUGUUUCCUGACUAUGCGUGAAUCAGAAGCUGUAUUUUUAACUCAGGGGCUGCUGAUGAUAGUUUUAAACUGGAAGCAGAUCCUGUUAUGUUCUGUCAACUGGGUCCAGGGAGAAAGGAUCUGUCUGAAGUCCUUGGCACUUACAGUUUGGGCCUGUUGUCAUCCUGACAGGUGCAGCCAGGUGUCCCAAAAGGCAAAGGGGACCAUGUUCACCCUUCUAGUCUACCCUUCUAAAAAUCCUCCUGGUGUUUGCUUGUUUGCCGGCAUCUGGGAGAAGAAUUGCAAAAAGCCAAUUUGGAGCCCAGAGAGCGACUUCCCAGACAAAGCAAGCUCCAGGAUUCCAAAAAGUCUCCACACUGUCUGUGUUCCUCUCUGCCACAGCAAGAACCAUCCCAGAGGGCAGCCUGUGGGGUGGCCUCUCUUAUACCAGGGGAGAGCCAGAUUCCCAGAAAUCCGCCGGUUAGGAGGGUCUGUGGGGCUAGUUCAGGGGUGUCUGCGGGAACAAUUCCCUUUUGUUUUGUUGUCUGCCGUGUGACCAGAAUGCUGCCAGCUAAUUUUAACCCCACCAAGGGACUGCUGGGAAAAAAAAAAAAAAACCCUAUCUUGCAUCUGGAGAGAACUCUGUGGCUGGAUAAAAGCUUUCUCAGCCUGUGUUCCUUCCUGUUUCGCUUUCCAAACUUGCAUUAUCGGUAACCUGAAAAAUGAUGAGUUUCACCAAAUUCCUGGAUAUUGCACAAGAGGACAAUGAGGCCAUUUUGGGGGCUGUGAGUGUAUCUGGCACAGACCCCGGAAGCCAUUGUUUUUCGGUCAGGAGAAUGUUUUAGGGUUUCCUGGUGCUUUCCUUCUAGGGCCUCAAGGGCUCAGGGGACACUGUCAGAGGGUGGAGGCGAGUGUAGCUUCCAUGGGUAAACCUGUAGACUGUAUUUUGAAAAGACCAGUAUGGGAAGUGGAUGGUUAGACCAGUGGAAUGGGACAAAAGCCCCCCCCCUUUUUGGCUAAAGAGGGCAUAUAUUGAGCAUUUGAAGUGGGAGAGACAGCAGGAAGGAGUAAGAAGAGACACAGUUCAGGAGACAGCCUGAUGUCUCCUGGGACAGAGGUCACCUGUUCUCCCCACUCACUUUUAGACCCUGGAGCUGAUGGAAGAAUGUAGAAGGCCCCUGGAAAAUGGAGUCCCAAGUCCUUUUCCUGAUUAGUCCUAUGCCUGCCUAGACAGAACACAUACAGGAGAGUGAAGCCGUGGAGGAGGUUGGACUCCCAAAUCACAGCGAUGAAUUGUCACUGUCUGGGUGGCCAGCACUCCUAAUGAAAAGGCACAGACUCUCAAACUCCAGAACAAUCAGCCAGCAUGGAGCCAGGCAGCCAGCCACCAUCACUGUUCUAAAGCCAAGUAGUGAAGUCACCUCCAUUAACCUGAGUAUCCACCAUGCGGCCCCAGGCGAUGAUAUCAAGGUCCAGCACCCCCUACCCUGCCACCCCAACCAGGGCAGCUUGGUGACAGUUGUGCUGACAGCAGCAGAGGCUUCAGCUGUCUAAAAUGCCAUUUGUUCCCUUCUGCUCUGUCUGACCAACAUCUACAUAUUUAAAGGACUCUGGUCUGCCUCCCAGGUCCCUUCCUCCUCUUAAUCCACAGGCAAGAGACAUUGGGGAGCGUGGGUGACCCCCAAAGAGCUGUAUCACUGCAAUGCCUUACCCCAUCACAGGAGCUGCACCUCGGAGUCUCGCUUUCAACUAAUCUUCCGCUUCCCACAGAUUCUAACAUCUAGCAAGAUCACUUUUUACCGUCCUGUUGUUUUUGAGACAGGGUCUUCCUCUGGAGCCCAGGUUCCUAACUCAGCCUUUCAGUCCCUGAAUUCCACUUUUGCACCCAAAAGGGGCAAAUUCCCAAAUUAAGGUUCUGUUUACGGUGGCGUUGCACAGACUUGGGUUUUGGAUUGUGUUCUGUUAUGUUGAUGAGUGAGCCCAGGGCUUCAGGCAUGCUGGGAGAGUCUACACUGGAGCUCUGUUCCCCAGCCCCAACGACUUGAUUCAAGCAAGAUGUUGUGCUUUGAAUUAAAAAAGCCCAGAGCUUGGGCUGGUUCCCUGAACUCAGAAGGCCUGAGUUCAACUCUAGCACCCAUAUCAAAUGUCUCACAAAGGUCUAAGGGAUGACAUCUAAGGGAUGACCUUUUGGCCUCUGCAGGCAUGCAUACUCAGAUGCACAUACCUAUCCCUUACACACACACACACACACACACACACACACACACACACACACACACACACAUCUUUUAAAAAAAAAAAUCCUGGGUUGGGGAUUUAGCUCAGUGGUAGAGCGCUUGCCUAGCAAGCGCAAGGCCCUGGGUUCGGUCCCCAGCUCCGAAAAAAAGAAAAAAGAAAAAAAAAAAUCCUGGGCUGGAGAGAUGGCUCAGCGGUUAAGAGCACAGCUAUUCUUCCAGAGGUCCUGAGUUCAAUUCCCAGCAACCACAUGGUGGCUCACAACCAUCUGUAAUGGGAUUCGAUGAGCUCUUCUGGUAUGUAUGAAGACAGCUACAAUGUAUCCUAUACCUAAAAUAAAUAAAUAAUUUCUUUUAAAAAAAUCCCGGAAUUCAUAAAUAAGCAGAAAUAUUUCUGAAUCUUCCCAAAGAAAUAUUUGAAUUUCACUUUUUGGGUAGGGUAGGGGUGGGGAUGGGGAGAAUCAGCUGGCCUUUAAUCUCUGUAAGACCUCCUAGAAUCCUACCUGUUUUCCCUAGGUCAACAAGCCCACUCCUACUGUAGCAUCAUAGACUUGUAGAGGACAGCCAGAGUCAGCCCCUGGGCUUCCAGGUUUCUGGGCUUCCUGGUUUCCGGACUUCCGGCAGGGCCUCAGAUGUCAGGAGCCGCAUUCCUCCCUUACCUUACAGCCUUAGGAUUCCUGGCAGUUUCCUAAGAACUCCACAGCUGGAGUACAGCUGCUUGGGGUGGAGAAAGCAGUACUCUUGGUAGGUCAGCAGGGUGAGCGAGCGAGGGCAGGGACUGUUGGAAGGUUGGGAAAGUCCUUGCCUGAGCCAGAAUCCAGGAAUGUGCUGGGGCCUCGGCUGAGAAAUCCUUCCAGAUGGGGGAGGGAAGGGGAAAGUGUCUGCCUUCUGGAUAGAUUUUUUUUUAAAAAAUCGCCCCAGGGAGGUGGACUGUUUUGAAACCGUCUUUUAGUGUGAAUGUUUAAACUGACCUGGAAACUUCCUCCCUUUUCUUUUCCUACAGUCCGAAUUUGUUUCCGAGGAGCAGUAAUCAACAAGGACAUUUGCCUCAGGGUCUCUCUUCCUUCGCCUCUUUAAAUGUUUAAAAAAAUUAUUGUUGUUGUUGUUAUCUUUAGUUCGGGGAAACUUUUGGACGCUCUCCAGGCUGCGGCUAUAGAAGUUUCCAGGAAAAUGGAAAAGCAACAUUAGUGUUUUGAACCUGUCUGGGUCAAGGGCUAGACGUGUUGGUUUUUUGCUUUUUGGUUUUUUUUUAGAAUGUCAGCAAUAAGGGCAGCCAGGUCCUGUGAGAGAGGCCAGCAAGGCAGAGGGCCUGAAGAUGCUGUCAGAAGGAUCUAAGAGCAUCCGAAAUCUCAGAGACGAACGUGGAGUUUAGCUGGCCUGCCUCUCCUGGAGCCACAGGGAACUGUGGAUUGUCACUUCAGGUGCUGGGUAUGGAGGGAGUGAGAACUUCAAGCCCAAGCCAUCGUAGAGACAGGUGGACCAGAGAUACAGUCUUGGGCAUUUGCAUUUUAGAGACUUGAAGCCCACACCAGAAGGCUACAAGUCAGUGAGCACACACACACACACACCAGGCCCCAAGGUGGCAGGGCCCACGAAAGACAGAAGAAAGGCUUGUCUUGGUUCUAUGACGAAUGCAUCAUGUACCUUGCUUCAAGGGCAAAGAGACAGAAAAAGUCAGAGAGUAAAGUCAGAACUGGGUCAGGAGGGGGAGGAAGAAUCAGGUUUUUGCAAGGCAGUUACUUCUUGCCUGCUCAGGGUUUCUCUGGAUAGUCCUGACUGUCCUGAAACUCGUUCUGUAGACCAGGCUGCCCUUGAACUCACAGAGAUCCGCCUAACUCUGCCUCCCGAGUUCUGGGAUUAAAGAUUUGCCCACCACCACCUGAACAAGUGUUCAGUUCUUACUUCUGUCUUAUAGAUGAGAACACUGAGACUCAGUGAUGAAAGAACUGGUCACUGUAGGAGUAGGCUUUGAGAUUCUCCUCCUUGCUGCCUGGAGGACGAUAGUUUUUUUUCCUGUUUGCCUUAUGAACUCUUUGGUCUUGGCUUUUUCUCCAGCACCAUGCUUACCUGGAUGCUGACGUGUCUCCUGUAUUGAUGAUACUGGACUGAACCUCUGAGCCUAUAAGCCAGCCCCAAUUAAAUGUGUGCCUUAUAAGAAUAAAAAGAAUGAUGAAGGAACUGAACUCAGAACACACAACCAGUAAGUGGUAGGCCAAGUUAAUCCUGAGUUAAUAUUGCAGACAGACCUGGGUUUGAGUCCUGAUUGGUGAGACAUGUGAUUCAGCAAGUUUUGUGCACAGCCAGCUCUUCUCAGCUGAUUUCCUAUGUUAAAUGCAUGGAGGAAUGCAGGCCAUUUCCUAUAACUAGCUGCUAGCAUUGUUACAAGUUUGCUGCAGGAAUUAAGUAGAAACGUGCUUCCAUUGGUAGAGCGGCUACAAUACAGUAAGCGCUCAGUAGACCCUUGAGUACCCGUGUGUUGGUGGAAGUACUCAUCUUUAUAAAGCACCACCUAUGUCUUCCUACCACCCUACACAGGUAGGUGUACUGGCUCUGAGUUCAGUGGGGCCUGGGGUCAAUGCCAGGCAGGUGUCUUCCUGUUCUUUGUAGCCGACCUGGACUGAUCCUCCUUUCUGCUUUAACUCCUCCUGUUACAGUGUUUCCCCCAACCAUGCACUGCAGACUGCUUUACCUGUUACAGUGUUUCCCCAACCAUGCACUGCAGACCACUUUACCCAUCUGCUUAGCAAUCUUCCAGAUUCCUCAGCCUGGAACACGGGGCUCCUGGGAAACCUCCUGCAGUUCUUUCUGUUUUCCCUCCUCCUCCUCACCUCACUACUUUCUGACUACAUUAAAUUCCUCUUGUUCCUUGAGCACAAUGUGAACUUUCCUGUCCCUUGCCUUUCCACGACUUCUCCCUGCCUGGAAGAAUGUUCUCCCCUUUAAGUUCUCCAAGCAGACUUCCAAACAUCCCUCAAGACUCAGCUGUUCAGCCUUUUUGGUGAAACUGGUUCCCAGCAUUUUCUGGCUUUGUGCUUUAGUGGCAAUCCACAAACAUCACAAAGAGUCUCUGUCACUGGGGAUUCCUUGAAGUUCGAGGCUAGGCAAGCCAGACUAUCACCAAGUCUACCUAAAAGGACCUCAAAAAUAAUACUCAAAUAAAUGAACCAGGCUGUAAUAUUUUCGUUUCUUUUCUUUCUUUCUUUUUAAAUUUGAGACAGGGUCUGUGUAGUCCUCUCCUACAGCUUGCUAUGUAGACAAGGCUGGCUUCACACUCACAGAAAUUCUCCUGCCUUUGCUUCCUGGGUGCUGGGAUAAAAGGUAUGCACCACCAUGUGGGGCCUAGAUAAUUUUCUACCUUUGUUUUCAGAGUCUCACAGGUUCCAGACUGGCCUUGAACUUACCAUAAGGCUAAGGAUAGCUUUGAACUUCUGAUCUUCCUACUUCUGCCUCCUAAACGACUGGGCUUGCACACCACACCCAGUUUAUAAUUGUGAGCUUUUAUAAUAUACUUAUUAUCAGUAAAACGGUACAGGUAUUAUUUGUACCCUCCUUUGUCCCAGCAAAACUUUGUAACAUUUUACUCAGCAAUCAUAAGUGAAACAGUACAGUAGAAAGAGCUGGCUCUGAGUUCAAAUCCUAACAUGGCCUCUUGCUAUGCUUUAAAAAUCAGCAGUACGUCUGUUUUGCUUUUUCAGUUUCCUGCCUGUAUGUGGCUUUAAUAGUAAUUACCCAUGUGGCAGACGCUGUUGAUCACUGUCUAAUAGUCACUCCGGUUGACAUAGUUAAUAUUCUUGUCAGCUUGAUAGAUUUAGAAUCACCAUGGAAACAUAUGCCUGUGUGUACCUAUGAGAGUAUUUCCAGGAAGGUUUAAUUUCUAGGAAGUAUUCGUUGCAUUUCCUGCUUCCUGACUGCUGACCACUGUGACCAGCUGCCUCAGACUGCUGCUGUCUUAACCUACCCAUCACAAUGGACUCUACCUCUGUUCCCCAGCACUAUGAAAACCAGGCAUGCUGGGACACUAUAGUUCCAGUACUCAGGAGGUAGAAUCAAGAGCACCAGGAAGAUCAAAAUCAUCAUGGAGUUCAAGCCAGCCUGGGCUACAUAAGACUGUGUCUUAAAACAAAGCUGGGCUGGAGAGAUGAUUUCUGAGUUCAAAUCCCAGCAACCACAUGGUGGCUCACAACCAUCUGUAAUGGGAUCUGAUGCCCUCUUCUGGUGUGUCUGAAGACAGCUGCAGUGUACUUAUAUAUAAUAAAUAAAUAAAUCUUUAAAAACAACAACAAAAA